rnacentral:rRNA from 1 species
GACGAACCGUGCGAACGUUGUUCGGAUUCACUGGGCUUAAAGGGCGCGUAGGCGGACCCAAAAGUCCGGGGUGAAAUCUUUCGGCUUAACCGGAAAAUCGCCUUGGAUACUGUGGGUCUCGAGGGAGGUAGGGGCAUGCGGAACUUCCGGUGGAGCGGUGAAAUGCGUUGAUAUCGGAAGGAACUCCGGUGGCGAAAGCGGCGUGCUGGAUCUCUUCUGACGCUGAGGCGCGAAAGCCAGGGGAGCAAACGGG